GUUAUUUCACGUCGUGACAACGUCCGUGGUAGUACACGGAAUAACGUUGUAGGGACGCAUUAUUAUAACAUUGCCACAACGUAAAUUACAACAUAACCACAACGUCAAAUACAACGUUCCCUCAACGUAAAAAUACAACGUUCCCACAACGUAAAAUACAACGUCAUCACAACGUUGUGACGACGUGAAUAUGACGUAACACAACGUUAUGCCAUGACGUUGUGACAACAUAAAUGGGAGUCCACAGAAUAACGUUAUAUGGACGUAACAUCCGCAACGUUACCAGAACGUAAACACAACGUUAUCACAACGUUCCCACAACGUAAAAUAAACGUCAUCACAACGUUGUGACGACGUGAAUAUGACGUAACACAACGUUAUGCCAUGACGUUGUGACAACAUAAAUGGGAGUCCACAGAAUAACGUUAUAUGGACGUAACAUCCACAACGUUGCCACAACGUAAACACAACGUUGUCACGACGUUGUCACAACGUGAAAUUCUUAGCUGGGUACCUGGUGUAUCGAUACAUUGUUCUCAAUCACCUCUAACACGGAAAUCCCGGUCGAAAUCCAUCUGAGCCAUCCACAACGAGGACGUCAAGUACUUCGAAAACUCGAUUGACAGCCGAAGGAAGGAAGAGCACCUUGCGGAUGCUAGCAUGUUCAGGGUUUGUGGGGAGGUUCACAGACAUCUUCAGGGAGGAUACGAAGUGUUGAAAUGUCCGGAUGAAUAAAAGAGACAGUCAUCUGUGCAGCAUCAAUGCAAGGAAAGACCAUAGAAGAGCAACAAAACUGAAGUCCUGCUUGAGAUCCCUGGAUGAGUACUCCAGGUUGACAGCCUGGAAGGACCAGACAAGGGAGUCCUUAACAGGGCGUGCACCCCUUCAGAUAUCAGAGGUGAUUUGCAGACAGCGAUGAUGAGGGUCCUGUUAUUUCAAUGGAGGCUGACCGAGAAGUUAUAUGCCAAAUGGUACUGGGACACACAAGACUGGUCUGGCUAAUGUGAGAAGACCAACCAAUGCCAAGCUGGAGUGGAAUCCUUCCAGGACAUUCAAGAAAUUCUUGUCCUGAGCCAUGUGGUAAACACUUGAACGGAAUGAUAAAUGGGACUUAUUGUCUUUCAAUGUGGACCCAAACACCAAAUGGAAAGUUCACAAUUCUACUAGCGCAAUGCAGCAGGGAUUGAGUCCAACUGGUAUCCCCUCAUCCUGGUUCCUGUUCAUCCAUGGCAAUAUAGAAAGAAAAGUAGGAUUGAGGGAAAGUAAGUUCUCUGAACUGGUGAACAUAAUCCGUAGGUACUGUCAAGCGAACAGUUAUCACACUCUGUUAUGAGUAUUGAAGAAUAGGAUGAAAUUGCAUACUGCAUCAGGAACAAUCGUGUGAACACUGUUCAGUGUGCGAUAUACUAUAGGCAUGAUAGGCAUAUGAAUAAAAAAAAUAUGAUAAUUUGA